AUGUUGCAGACACAGGUAGUAGUGAAGUACCAGAGCUACAGCUUGGGAGAGGCCAUGAAGAGUUCUUCAGUUGCACCAAGCCUGAAACAGAAGCAAGGAGAUGCUAGCAAACUGCAGGAUGGUGUCCCCAACAACCUUGAGCUUAGGCUUGGCAUCUCUUCAGACAAUGGCCUGAGUAGUGGUGGUGGUGGUGCUACUACUCCAUGGCUUGGUGUUGGAGUGCACCCUUGGAGCCUGUCCGCCAGGCAAGACAAGGCAGCCCUGGAACAACCUCAGCAGAGGCCUAAUGAGUGUCCUGCCCACAGAGAAGAUCGACCUCAACUGGUCGGAUGGCCACCGGUGCGCACAUUCCGCAAGAACCUGUCUGCCACAUCCACGAGGCCUGCAUAUUCUGGAGACCUGAGCAAAGUGGAACCAUGCUAUGAAGAAGAAGACCAUGGAAACAUAAACACUGGAGUUUCAGUACAAGAGAGGCCAGCCAUGUUCGUGAAGGUGAACCUGGAAGGGUACGCUGUUGGGAGAAAGAUUGACCUGAAGGCACACCACGGCUACGGCUCGCUGUCCGGUGCUCUGCAGAGCAUGUUCCAUGGCUUCUUGUCAGAUGGCCAUGGGAGGAUUGCAACCAGAGAGGAUGAAGAGCAGCUGGAAUAUCACAAGGGCAAGGGCACGAUGAAGAACUACAUCCUUCUGUACGAGGACAACGAGGGCGACCGCAUGCUCGUCGGUGACGUUCCGUGGGAGCUGUUCGUCGCUUCGGUGAAGAGGCUCUACAUUGCCAAGGACCCUAGAGCUGACAAAAGCAACAAGAAGUAG
rnacentral:rRNA from 1 species